rnacentral:rRNA from 1 species
AGGUGGUGCAUGGUUGUCGUCAGCUCGUGUCGUGAGAUGUUGGGUUAAGUCCCGCAACGAGCGCAACCCUUAAGCUUAGUUGCCAUCAUUAAGUUGGGCACUCUAAGUUGACUGCCGGUGACAAACCGGAGGAAGGUGGGGAUGACGUCAAAUCAUCAUGCCCCUUAUGAUUUGGGCUACACACGUGCUACAAUGGACAAUACAAAGGGCAGCGAAACCGCGAGGUCAAGCAAAUCCCAUAAAGUUGUUCUCAGUUCGGAUUGUAGUCUGCAACUCGACUACAUGAAGCUGGAAUCGCUAGUAAUCGUAGAUCAGCAUGCUACGGUGAAUAC